GAGAUGAAGAGCAGCCGGAGC
rnacentral:miRNA from 1 species